rnacentral:tRNA from 1 species
GGGGAUGUGGCUCAGUGGUAGACCACUUGCCUAGCAUGUAUGAGGCACAGGCACUGCGUUCAAUUCUCAGCACUGCA